rnacentral:tRNA from 1 species
GGGCGUGUAACUCAGCGGUAGGUUCUAUUCCAAAUGCCAACAAUUUCAUUUUCUGAAGCUUUGCAGGUUAGAGUGUGGGAUUGCAGCUUUCGCGUAAUAUCCCAAGGUCGUUGGUUCGAGUCCGGCCACGCCCU